rnacentral:rRNA from 1 species
AUUGAACGCUGGCGGCAGGCCUAACACACGCAAGCCGAGCGGGGUUUUCGGACCUAGCGGCGGACGGGUGAGCGAUGCGUAGGAAGCUGCCCGAUAGAGGGGGAUACCAGUUGGAAACGACUAUUAAUACCGCAUAAUGUCUACGGACCAAAGUGUGGGACCUUCGGGCCACAUGCUAUCGGAUGCGCCUACGUGGGAUUAGCUAGUUGGUGAGGUAAUGGCUCACCAAGGCGACGACCUCUAGCUGGGUUGAGAGGAUGAUCAGCCACACUGGAACUGGGACACGGUCCGGACUCCUACGGGAGGUAGUGGUGGGGAAUAUUGGACAAUGGGCGCAAGCCUGAUCCAGCCAUGCCGCGUGUGUGAAGAAGGCAUUCGGGUUGUAAAGCACUUGCAGCGAGGAGGAAGGGUGGUGUGUUAAUAGCACAUCAUUUUGACGUUACUCGCAGAAGAAGCACCGGCUAACUCUGUGCCAGCAGCCGCAGUAAAAC